GACGAACGCGGCGGCGUGCCUAAUACAUGCAAGUAGAACGCUGAAGGAGGAGCUUGCUUCUCCGGAUGAGUUGCGAACGGGUGAGUAACGCGUAGGUAACCUGCCUGGUAGCGGGGGAUAACUAUUGGAAACGAUAGCUAAUACCGCAUAAGAGUAGAUGUUGCAUGACAUUUGCUUAAAAGGUGCAAUUGCAUCACUACCAGAUGGACCUGCGUUGUAUAAGCUAGUUGGUGGGGUAACGGCUCACCAAGGCGACGAUACAUAGCCGACCUGAGAGGGUGAUCGGCCACACUGGGACUGAGACACGGCCCAGACUCCUACGGGAGGCAGCAGUAGGGAAUCUUCGGCAAUGGACGGAAGUCUUGACCGAGCAA
rnacentral:rRNA from 1 species